GGAAAUCUCACCAGGCCCGGACAAUGGAAGGAUUGACAGAUUGAUACCUCUUUCUUGAUUCUGUGGGUGGUGGUGCAUGGCCAUUCUUAGUUGGUGGAGUGAUUUGUCUGGCUUAAUUUGACUCAACGCGGGAAAUCUCACCAGGCCCGGACACUGGAAGGAUUGACAGAUUGAUAGCUCUUUCUUGUUAGCAAUAA
rnacentral:rRNA from 1 species